rnacentral:rRNA from 1 species
AGCGAACGCUGGCGGCAGGCUUAACACAUGCAAGUCGAGCGGGCGUAGCAAUACGUCAGCGGCAGACGGGUGAGUAACGCGUGGGAACAUACCUUUUGGUUCGGAACAACACAGGGAAACUUGUGCUAAUACCGGAUAAGCCCUUACGGGGAAAGAUUUAUCGCCGAAAGAUUGGCCCGCGUCUGAUUAGCUAGUUGGUGAGGUAACGGCUCACCAAGGCGACGAUCAGUAGCUGGUCUGAGAGGAUGAUCAGCCACAUUGGGACUGAGACACGGCCCAAACUCCUACGGGAGGCAGCAGUGGGGAAUAUUGGACAAUGGGCGCAAGCCUGAUCCAGCCAUGCCGCGUGAGUGAUGAAGGCCCUAGGGUUGUAAAGCUCUUUUGUGCGGGAAGAUAAUAACGGUACCGCAA